rnacentral:rRNA from 1 species
GACGAACGCUGGCGGCGUGCUUAACACAUGCAAGUCGAGCGGUAAGGCCUCUUCUGGGUUACACGAGCGGCGAACGGGUGAGUAACACGUGGGUGACCUGCCCUCAGCUCUGUGAUAAGCCUGGUAAACUGGGUCUAAUACCGGAUAUGACCUUUCCUCGCAUGGGGUUUGGUGGAAAGUUUUUUCGGCUGGUGAUUGGCCGGCGGCCUAGCAGCUUGUUGGUGGGGUGAUGGCCGACCAAGGCGACGACGGGAAGCCCGCCUGAGAGGGCGACCGGCCCCACUGGGACUGAGGCACGGACCAGAGUCCUACGGGGGGCAGCAGUGGGGAACAUUACGCAACGGGCGGAAGCCUGAGGCAGCGACGCCGGGUGGGGGAUGACGGCCUUCGGGUUGUAAACCUCUUUCGACCCCGACGAAUUUGGCCGGUAGGGGUAGAAGAAGCACCGGCUAACUACGUG